rnacentral:rRNA from 1 species
CGCGGCCUAUCAGCUUGUUGGUGAGGUAAAGGCUCACCAAGGCAUUGACGGGUAGCUGGUCUGAGAGGACGAUCAGCCACACUGGGACUGAGACACGGCCCAGACUCCUGCGGGAGGCAGCAGUGGGGAAUCUUGCGCAAUGGGCGAAAGCCUGACGCAGCAACGCCGCGUGGGGGAUGAAGGCUCUCGGGUUGUAAACCCCUUUCAGCAGGGACGAAAUUGACGGUACCUGUAGAAGAAGCCCCGGCCAACUACGUGCCAGCAGCCGCGGUAACACGUAGGGGGCGAGCGUUGUCCGGAAUUAUUGGGCGUAAAGGGCUCGUAGGCGGUUCGGUAAGUCAGAUGUGAAAGGUUGGGGCUCAACCCUAAGACUGCAUUUGAUACUGCCGUGACUAGAGUCCGGUAGAGGAGUGUGGAAUUCCUGGUGUAGCGGUGAAAUGCGCAGAUAUCAGGAGGAACACCGACGGCGAAGGCAGCACUCUGGGCCGGUACUGACGCUGAGGAGCGAAAGCGUGGGUAGCAAACAGGAUUAGAUACCCUGGUAGUCCACGCCGUAAGCGUUGGGCACUAGGUGUGGGACCUUAUCAACGGGUUCCGUGCCGUAGCUAACGCAUUAAGUGCCCCGCCUGGGGAGUACGG